rnacentral:rRNA from 1 species
UACGAAGGGGGCUAGCGUUGCUCGGAAUCACUGGGCGUAAAGGGUGCGUAGGCGGGUCUUUAAGUCAGGGGUGAAAUCCUGGAGCUCAACUCCAGAACUGCCUUUGAUACUGAAGAUCUUGAGUUCGGGAGAGGUGAGUGGAACUGCGAGUGUAGAGGUGGAAUUCGUAGAUAUUCGCAAGAACACCAGUGGCGAAGGCGGCUCACUGGCCCGAUACUGACGCUGAGGCACGAAAGCGUGGGGAGCAAACAGG